AUUUAUGUACACGUGUAUACGUAUUUGCACCACCAUCGCGCUAUUAAUAGAAUGCAGCGGUUCAUCGCGAGGGUUUAAUCUUAUCAUCAACGCCAGCCGAUGCUAUAGUGUAUUAUUGUUAUGAUGUGCGAGCUUUCCUUCCUUCAAUGUAAGAAGCACGUGGCUCGUGCCAGCAGUCCAACUGGGCAUGUCAGUAUAUAUGUAAAGGGUCAGAUGUGAUGAUAUUUCUGACGAGUGUUGUAGAUAACCACAUCAAGGAAUAUUAAUGGCUUUUGGCUCACAUGGAAUUUUUGUUUUCUUGUUACGUUACAAGGCUGUGAUGUACUACUCGUAACGGAAUUCAUUUUACCUCAUGUUUUUAUUUAGCUAAGCUUCCGUCUUCCACUAAACAGCUAGCAUUAACUGUCGUCUGCUAGUGAUAACAAAUCCCGCCUAUACGGAGUCGUUCACCAGACACCAUCUUCAGCUAUAUAUUUUGGGACUUUGAGUUGUGUAAACUUUGGAUAUUUUUCGUGAACAAAGUUGGGGUAGUUUCGCUUUUGGACGAGAUCCCCAACGAUUUUGUCGUCUGCUUGAAUGCGUUUGAAUUGACUUGAGUUACUUGUUCAACAUGGCGACUGAUCCUACUUUGGAGCGAAAAAUUUUAUUAGGAGGUACACUUGCGACUGCGGUGGCGUUUCUUUUCCAACUUAUAGCCAUUUGUACUUCGCAAUGGUUGGUUAUUGAGAUUCCUAAACCUACCAGUUUUGUAAAUAAGUCGGGGAGGUAUCUGUUUAAAUCAUCGAGUGGUCUAUGGCGAAUGUGUCGAGUAUAUUUACAAGGCACCGAUAAUUCAGAAGUUGAAGAAUGUGAAUCUCAUAAUUUAUUUCCUUUCGAGGAGGACAUUGAAGUUAACGAAGCUAUUGAUAGUCAUUAUUUAGAUUAUCGUGCCAAAGAAGUUUUACAAAUAGAUUAUACUCGCACUGUUAUCGCCUUUACCAUUAUAGCCCUAGUACUGAUGUGUAUUGUUCAUUCAUUCGCUUUUUAUACCAUACGACGACCUCGUUACAUUAUUAAACGAUUAACAGCCUUAUUGCAUUUCAUGACAGCUGCCUGUAUUUUGGUAUUAAACGAAGUUUUUGUAAAAGCUGUUGAACAUGAAAGGGAACAUCUGGCCGAUCGAUUUCCGGAUGGUGGUGAUUCGGAGUACGGUUUCUCGUUCGUUUUCUCCUGGUUGGUGUUCAUCG